rnacentral:rRNA from 1 species
GAUGAACGUUGGCGGCGUGCCUAACACAUGCAAGUCGAACGAUAGUCGCAAGACUAUAGUGGCGCACGGGUGAGUAACACGUAGCUUACCAGCCUCUCAGCGCGGGAUAACGGCUCGAAAGAGGUGCUAAUACCGCAUAAGCUCACGGGAUGUAGAGACUAGUGAGAAAGGGUGCAAAUCACUGAGAGACGGGGCUGCGGCCCAUCAGCUAGNGGUGCGGUAACGGCGCACCAAGGCGACGACGGGUAGGGGACCUGAGA